UGUGUGUCAUGUCAAGACGCUACUCCUAUGUUGUAUCGUUCCAUGUUCUUUGUUAUAUUAAACAUACCACCUGCACCUGCUUCUCGACUCCCAGCAUGUACGUUACAGAAUACUGCCUCACAAAAUGGAAGCAGCAGGAAAUCAGAACAUCUCCCAGACGGUCGCCAACCACGACCAGCUGGCACAACUAGGGACAACUAGUACGCAUUCACCUUCCAGACAGUAGCAGCAUCCAGCAGAUGGAAUGAACGGUGGUUCAUACGUUAUUCAGAAGAGGACUGCGGAAGGGGGUCCAGACAGAACUGGCCUGUCGAGACAACAACCUCUCCUUGGAUGCACUCAUGGCAAUGGCCAUCCAUCUGGAUAACCUACUUCGGGAGUGUCGGCAUCUCAUCACUUCUUUCCCUCCCUUAGUGAACACUUUAGAUCAGAGCCUGAACCCAUGGAGGUAGAGGUCACACACCAACCCGCAGUGGAACGACGCAGAUGGUAUGUCUCUAUUGUGGUCAAGUAGGGCUCCAGCAGUGUCCGGUACGUCCCAGCUCGGGAUCCAUGAGAGCAGAGAGACGAUCACGUGAUCUUCCACCUCCUGGGGCAGGUUGUUAGGGGAUUCCAGUGCCGCGGGGAAAUGUAUUGACCCGACCCUUGCCUCGUCUCUUAACAUCACCUCAUACCCGCUCUCCUCUCCUUUCCCGGUUCAAGCCCUCGAUACUCGGCCAUUAGGUUCCGGGGCCAUCACAAACAUCACCAAACCAUUCACCCUCACCAUGGAGUCCAUCCAUCAGGAGAACAUUCCCUUAAUCUCCAGUGCACCAGCUCACAAGAUCAUCCUCUGCCUCCUUUGGCUUCAACACCAUAACCCCACCAUCUCAUGGUCGAGGAUAAAAAUCAAGGACUGGGCACCCGUAUGCCAGAGGACCUGCCUUCACAUGUCGGUUGAGAGUCCUGUGGUUGCCCUUCAGCCCAACAUCUCAAAUGUAUACCAGGACCUGCGGGAGGUAUUUUCCAAAACCCGCGCUACCUGUCUCCCUCCUUAUUGCCCCAUGGGACUGUGCCAUCGACCUGCUUGCAGGCUCUGCGCUCCCGCACAGAUGGAUCUACCCUCUAUCGGUGACUGAAACCAAGGCCAUGGAGGACUACAUCCAUGAGGUUCUCCAACAAGGUUUCAUCCGCACGUUCACUUCUCCUGCAUCUGCAGGCUUCUUCUUUGUGGUCAAGAAGGAUGGAGGGUUAUGCCCGUGUGUGUAUUGGUUACAGAGGACUCAAUGAGAUCGCCACCAAGUAUCGUUAUCCUCUCCUGUUGGUGCCAGCAGCCAUCAAACAGCUCCACAGGGCCCGGUUCUUUACCAAAUUGGACCUGCGGAGUGCUUACAAUCUCAUCCGCAUCUGGGGGGGAUAAAUGGAAGACCGCUUGUCUGGUCACUACGAGAACUUGGUGAUGCCAUUUGUCUUAGCCAAUGCUCCGUCAGUUUUCCAGGCAUUCGUCAAAGGUCUUCCAAGACAUGAUCAGACGCCAGGUGCUCGUGUAUAUUGACGACAUCCUCGUCUACUCGGCUACCUUGGAGGAUCACAACGCUCACAUCCGAGUAGUCCUGGAACGCCUCCUAGCUAACCACCUGUUUGUCAAGGCUGGGAAGUGCCAGUUUCAUCAGGAGACGAGGCCUUCCACCUACUGAAGGACGUUUCACCUUCUUCUCUUUGCUCAAACAUCCAGAUCCCAUGAUACCCUUUGUGGUGGAGGUGGAUGCUUCAGAGAGAGGAAUUACGGUGACGGCGAUCAAGACCUCCUGGCGGUUAGGUUGGCAUUAGAGGAGUGGCGACACUGGCUGGAUGGCGCCAAGGACCACUUUGUCAUUCUCAAUGACCAUCGGAACCUGGGGUACAUACGGACAGCGAGGAUGCUAAAUCCACGGCAAGCAAGGUGGGCCCUUUUCUUUGCAAGAUUUGACUUCACGCCGGCCAUAUCGCCGAGGUUCAAAGAACACCAAAGCCGAUGCCCUGUCCCAUCUCUGCGAUUCGGGAGAGGGUGAUGUCCAGAGUGCAUCCAUAAUCCCUUCCUCUCGAGUUGUAGCCCCUGUGGUCUUGGAUGUAGAUGUGGACAUUCACCAGGCUCUGGGGACGGAGCCAGCAGCUGUUCUCCUGAGCGCAUCUACGUUUCCACAGGGAUAAAUGAUUGGCUGCUGACCUGGGUGUUACGUUACAUGUGGGUACAUUUUGUCAUUGCCUGUAAGAAUGUAUUUCACCAGCCACAUUGGAGGGUGGUUACACGUGGAGGGUGGUCAUCCAAAGCCCUUAUGUAGAAGUGGGUCGAAUAUCGUUUUGUUCACGUUAUAUCGUUUUGCCAGUUAUAUCGUUUUGUUCACACGCUAGGUUAUUUUUCAAUGUUAGUUUGAGUUUUCUGCAACUUUCUGCUGCUAAGAAGACAUUGCCACAUAUAGAACAAUGAGACAGAUAUUUCACCGGAUGUAUAAAUGUGAAACAUCCAGUUGGCAUUUCAACUCACUACCAAAUUUGGUAAUGAGAGAAAGCCCAGUGGCCAGCAGUGGGAGAGUGAAGCGAGAUGGAUUUUAGCCGACAUGCUGUUAAUUUACUCAUCAAUUAAACAUUUGAACACCAUACAGUUAUCUGCUUUCAAAACUAGAAUCUGUAACAAACAGAUUCUAGUUCUAGACUUUACCCUUUGCCAAAGUUUUUAAAAAAUGGUGUUGUUUAGGAGUGCAAGGGCGAAUUGAGUUAUAGCCCACGCAUACUUCACAGAGUAGUCGUUCCCUAAUGCCAAUAUGCUAGACCAUGCCAAUACGAUCUCACUAGCUUGUGCUUGGCUCUGCCCACCUCCUUGAUUGUUCUGCCCACCAUAUUUAAUUUGCUCCAAUUGGAAAUGAUAGGCAUUGGUGUAUCUUGGGCUAGUUAUAAAAAUAUUUGAUAUGGCAGUCUGAGAUUUGUUUUCAUCACAGACAGCCAAGUUACCACGGUAAUGGCAUGUCCCUUAAAGGGGCAGCUGAACAUUUUUGUAUCAUUUUUGUCACACCCCCAAAAAAGGAUUCAUUAACUUUUAGUAAUUUCUUAUCAAAACACUCAAAUACUUUAAUUGUUCUACUAGAUUUGUGUGCUUUGACAUUUCUACUUAGGAGCACAUCGUGUAGUCUACUCUUUGUAAAACAUGUCAGCUUAGAGACCUGAACUGUAAUAAUAAAUAUGCCCUCAGCAUUUUGUGGCUGGGAAGGCACUUUGAUGAUUCUUGAUGCUCAGUUGUAGAACUGUUGAUCUGUUUUGAUCUGUUUUUACUAUUGUAUCUAAAUGAUUUAUUUUAACAUACUGUUUAUUGGUAAAAAGGGCACAAAAAUGAAAUGAAAUGAAGCAAUAUAAGCAUUUACUUGUUUUAAAAACAUUAGAAAGCAUACUCAUCGGUUUUGUUUUGUUUUUUGUUGUUGUAAUUAUGGUGACAUUUUAAUUUUAAUUUUAA